rnacentral:rRNA from 1 species
UACGUAGGUGGCAAGCGUUAUCCGGAAUUAUUGGGCGUAAAGAGCGCGCAGGUGGUUGAUUAAGUCUGAUGUGAAAGCCCACGGCUUAACCGUGGAGGGUCAUUGGAAACUGGUCGACUUGAGUGCAGAAGAGGGAAGUGGAAUUCCAUGUGUAGCGGUGAAAUGCGCAGAUAUCAGGAGGAACACCAGCGGCGAAGGCGGCGCUCUGGGCCGGAACUGACGCUGAGGAGCGAAAGCGUGGGUAGCAAACAGGAUUAGA